rnacentral:rRNA from 1 species
UGGUACAACGAGUCGCCAACCCGCGAGGGUGCGCUAAUCUCUUAAAACCAUUCUCAGUUCGGAUUGCAGGCUGCAACUCGCCUGCAUGAAGUCGGAAUCGCUAGUAAUCGCGGAUCAGCACGCCGCGGUGAAUACGUUCCCGGGCCUUGUACACACCGCCCGUCACACCACGGAAGUUGGGAGUACCCAAAGUAGGUUGCCUAACCGCAAGGAGGGCGCUUCCUAAGGUAAGACCGAUGACUGGGGUGAAGUCGUAACAAGGUACC